CCAGCUCAUAAUGCAACAACUUCUGAUCUGUUGCCCAUCUAAAAUAUCCUUCAAGACACAUCAAAUCUCGUCUGACCCAGGACCCAAAGAACAGGCUUAGCUUACAGCUGAAUAUUUAUGAACACAAUGCAUUACGCCAGAUAACAUUUAUUCAUUUGGCUGCCUAAAAAGUGGCAUUACAAGCCCCAUUAAAGGGUAGCUUGAAAAUCCUCAAAUUGGGUGUAAAAUCUCA